CCUACAGCAAGAGGGAAAACACAGGGCUUCAGACAGUGAGUCAAACACAUCCCCAGCCAGGACCCAAAAUACCACCACAGACAGGGAUAAACGGAUGACGACGUGAGGGAGCUCCCUACACCCACACUCCACUGAAGGCUGCUGCCCGGCUUUGGAUCUUAAUUUACAGAUCAAAACUCUCUAAGUUGCUUCUGAAAUUGGAAUGCUGCACAUCAGUUCUACCAAAGGAUCAUUAGAAGCCAUCACCUACCUCUUCUGGUUUCACAUCUCUGCUAGUGAAAUCCUUUAUGCAAUCCACAAAGCAGUUUUCUGUAAGUUUAUUGUAUGUGCCAAGAAACUCCUUGAACUGUAAAUAAAAAUUGGACAAUGGAUAUUAGG